GAGUGUACAACUCACCUGCCGAAGCAACUAGCCCUGAAAAUGGAUGGCGCUGAAGCGUUUUGCCUAUACCCGGCCGCCGGCGGCAAAGGGCGCGCGCCUUCGGGCGCGCGUCGCCAAGCCCCGGUGAGUAGGAGGGUCGCGACGGUGUGCGCAGAAGGGUCUGGGCGUGAGCCUGCCUGGAGCCGCCGUCGGUGCAGAUCUUGGUGGUAGUAGCAUUACGGAACCUGGUUGCGGAGCCGCAAACACGAUCCUCGUAUUGACGCGGUAACGCGAAAGACCCCAGAGAUGCCGUCUGGAGCCCCGGGAAGAGUUUUCUUUUCUGCCUGAGCGUUCGGGCUCCGUGGAAUCCUCUCGCAGGGAGAUACGGAGUGGAACGCGAAGAGCACCGCAGUUGCUGCGGUGUCCGGGGAGUCCCGUCGGCCCUUGAAAAUCUGGGUGAGGGUCAGCGUGGAGGAGUCGCACCAGCUCGUACCCAUAUCCGCAGCAGUC
rnacentral:rRNA from 1 species